rnacentral:rRNA from 1 species
UACGUAGGCGGCAAGCGUUGUCCGGAUUUACUGGGCGUAAAGGGCGUGCAGGCGGUCUGUUAAGUGCAGGGUGAAAGCUCCCGGCUCAACUGGGAGAGGUCCUUGCAUACUGGCGGACUUGAGGGGGGUAGAGGAAAGUGGAAUUCCCGGUGUAGUGGUGAUAUGCGUAGAUAUCGGGAGGAACACCUGUGGCGAAGGCGGCUUUCUGGGCCCCUAC